rnacentral:rRNA from 1 species
UAAUUCUCCUUCCCGAAAUUUAGUGAGCUGAUUUUUAUUUGCUAAGAGCCCAAUAUUUAAUGUUGCAAUAUUAUUAUUAAAAUAUCCAUCAGAAGCUACAUACCUAUCGCACUAAAUUAUAGCUGGUUUUUCAGCCCCCAGUCUAAUCUGCUCAAGCUGCUAAACUAACCCUCUCACCAGCUAUGAAAAGAAACUAAGGACAAGCUCAGUUUCUUCCUUUAUUUAAAAUAAAUUAUUAUUCUACGUAGGCCUAAUAUCAGCCACCAUAAUACUACGUCAUAGUACUAAAAAUAAAAUUCCACACAAAUAUUUUCCCCCUGAAAUAGUCUAUAAAAUAAAAAAUAAACCAAACUAUGCAAAGAUCAAUAUUUUAGUCCUAAUUUUACUCUUUUCCCCCAUACAUAAAUAAGGAACUCGGCAACCCUUUAUUCCGACUGUUUAACAAAAACAUUGCCUAUAGUAUCUUCAUUAUAGGUACACCCUGCCCAGUGUUAUUAUAAACGGCCGCGGUACCCUGACCGUGCAAAGGUAGCAUAAUAAUUUGCCUUUUAAUUGAAGGCUGGCAUGAAAGGGCAAACGAGAAUAAACCUGUCUCAUUUAUGCUCAUAAAAAUUUAUCUUCAGGUGAAGAAGCCUGAAUUUAUAUAAAAGACAAGAAGACCCCGUCGAGCUUUAGUUUAAUAUAUGACCCUGCCCUCCUACUAUAUUUCUCCCCAUAUAAAAACUUUUGUUGGGGCGACAAUGGAAUAUAUUAAUCUUCCAACAUACCCCAGACUUUAUGUCACCCAAAUGACCCUUCACUGAUCACAAGAACUAGCUACCGCAGGGAUAACAGACUAAUCUUCCUCCGGAGCCCAAAUCUACAGGAAGGCUUGGCACCUCGAUGUUGGCUUAGGAACAUCCCCUAGAUGAAGCAGUCUAGGAAGUGGGUUUGUUCAACCCUUAAUAUCCUACAUGAGCUGAGUUCA